GAUGAAGAACGCAGCGAAAUGCGAUAAGUAAUGUGAAUUGCAGAAUUCAGUGAAUCAUCGAAUCUUUGAACGCACAUUGCGCCCCCUGGUAUUCCGGGGGGCAUGCCUGUCCGAGCGUCAUUACUGCCCUCAAGCGCGGCUUGUGUGUUGGGCCCUCGUCCCCCCCGGGGGACGUGCCCGAAAGGCAGUGGCGGCGCCGUGCCCGGACCUCGAGCGUAUGGGGCUUUGUCACCCGCUCUGGAGACCCGGCCGGCGGCCGUCGGACCACCCCAACCUUUUUAACCGGUUGACCUCGGAUCAGGCAGGGAUACCCGCUGAACUUAAGCAUAUCAAUAAGCGGAGGA
rnacentral:misc_RNA from 1 species